AUACAGAGGGUGCGAGCGUUAAUCGGAAUUACUGGGCGUAAAGCGCGCGUAGGCGGCUUAUUAAGUCAGAUGUGAAAUCCCCGGGCUCAACCUGGGAACUGCAUCUGAUACUGGUAAGCUAGAGUUUUGGAGAGGGAAGUAGAAUUUCAGGUGUAGCGGCGAAAUGCAUAGAGAUCUGAAGGAAUACCAGUGGCGAAGGCGUCUUCCUGGCCAAAAACUGACGCUGAGGUGCGAAAGCGUGGGUAGCAAACGGGAUUAGAAACCCUAGUAGUCC
rnacentral:rRNA from 1 species